GUGCCAGCCGCUGCGGUAAUACGAAGGGGCUAGCGUUGCUCGGAAUUACUGGGCGUAAAGGGAGCGUAGGCGGACAUUUAAGUCAGGGGUGAAAUCCCGGGGCUCAACCUCGGAAUUGCCUUUGAUACUGGGUGUCUUGAGUAUGAGAGAGGUGUGUGGAACUCCGAGUGUAGAGGUGAAAUUCGUAGAUAUUCGGAAGAACACCAGUGGCGAAGGCGACACACUGGCUCAUUACUGACGCUGAGGCUCGAAAGCGUGGGAGCAAACAGGAUUAGAUACCCUGGUAGUCCACGCCGUAACGAUGAUUGCUAGUUGUCGGGAUGCAUGCUAUUUCGGUGACGCAGCUAACGCAAUUAAGCAAUCCGCCGUGGGAGUACGGUCGACAAGAUUAAAAC
rnacentral:rRNA from 1 species